CAAUGGUUGUCCACUCUAUUUUCUGUACAGAACUACAAGUUUACAUUGUAAAAGUCUUUCAAAUUUGUGUAUGUCAUUAAAUCCUACCACAGUUUCUUCACUCAGCCCAGCGCCCCAUUGGUAAUAACGUGCUCUUUCAAUGACGCUCGUUGUUGUCAACGAAUUAUCUUUUAAAUAGGCAAUGGCAGUAGCAAAACUCAUUUUAUUGAACAUUACAGUGCAGAAAUAUCAUACCGCCUUUGUGUUGGUUGGGAUGGAAGUCCAAAUCUCUCUGGUGAUAAAGACUGCGUGAUGUUUCAUCUGAGUAUUUUCCAAUGUCUUCUUCCGAAGAUAUCGGUGCUGUCUCCGAUGAGGGAAUUAAAGGAGCACUUUGUCUAAAGUAAUACGAAUGGGAGCACACAUUAAAAGUUAGUAGAUGAGGGUUCAGUGUUUCAUUUAAUGCCAGAGUUAUCCACAGAUUUCACCAAAAACAUCUCUAAAUUGGAAAACUUUAUCGAAAUUCCUCUCUCACUCAGACAUUCCAAUGAGCCCGGCUGGAAAACUGACAGCCAAUCAGCUUUUGCCACGCCUGCAGUGCUUCCUGUUCUGACCCCCGAUUCCUCAUGGAUCCGUUUCACUGAACAGAGCACGUCCACUAUGUGGCAUUUUGUGGCCGAUUUUGGUGAAAAAUAAUUACAAACAAAACAAAAAUAGCAUAAUAUACAAUGUUCAAGCCUGUGCGUUUGAGCCAGAACACACACCGGUGGAACAUGACGUGUUGGAGAUGGGGAGUGGCACUGACGACGAACAAUAGUUCCAUUAUAUGGGCCUGGGAGAUUUGUUUGAUGCUUUUCUGAGGAGUUGGUUUAGAUGUAGAGAAUAUAGAGCAGGGGUGACAAGAUUUUUUUUUUUACUCCGAGAUCUACUUUUCAAGCAGCCCACCUCUUGUGAUCGACCGGCGCCGGCGAUGGUGGGUGGGGUUGAGGCAGGGGCUGAGUUGACAUCCAGGCAAAGACCGUGGCCACGGCAUUUGAGACCCUUUCGGGGACUGGGCCUCGACUUUGCAUCUGGAGGCUGAGGGUUGACGAGAAGCCGAAGGAAGGGAAGGCAUCUCUGGUGAGUAGGAAACUCCCACACUCAUGAGGAAUGAGUGAAUGCGUGUCUGGGUGACUACGGCAGAACCAAACCUCGAGAACACUAGUCACUAUCGAGUAGACAAAUGAGUCUAUAAAACUGAGAAAAUGUCCUGGACGUGAGCUCCGUGAAAUGUGUGAAUGUGUAAAAGUGUGAGUGGAGGUUGGCUACCUCAUUUGAACAGGAAAUUGAGUGACAACUGUUUGAGGAUGCAGAGGUAGGAAUUCUCCGCCACUUGCAGCAGCAUUGCUGAAGAUCACACUCCAGGGAGUGUGUAUCAAGGGCAAUUAAAAAAUGCUCUUCAUGCAAAUUCAAAUAAUCCUACAAAACAAUGGAUUGAAAAACAUUGGGUUGACAAACCGACUGGCAGUCUGUAACAUUACGUUAACCAAGCACUACACACAGAAAGAGUGCUACAAAAUAAGAAAAAGAAAGUUGACACCUUUCUGACAGAGGAAGGAGAAAUUUAUGGAGCUUUAUGCAAAACAUUUAAUAAUUGUGGCCACAGAUGAGAGCAGCCAUCUCCCCAUCAAAAAUGUCACAACUAAUGCUCCCAAAAUGCAACUUUUUAAUUUGUCCCGUACAUUUUUCGGGAAGAGAUGGCUUGCUGAAACUAGGACUGGGCUUAAUUCCCUCUCUGACAGGAAAAAUAGAAGUAAAAACAAAAAAAAAAAGAAUUACUGGGAGGACAGUUAAACAUCUUACAAAAUAGGAAUCCAGCGCUCUAUUAUUCCACCUUAGAUAUUCCAAACAAACCGCCCACAAGAACAGGAGAUUUCUUGCUGCAAACAGCUCAAGACGUGAUUGAACAACCACAAAAUGACCUAGGAAGUGACUCAUUGCACGUGACAAUGUAGUAUAAGAUAAACGUAUAACAGCCCACACCAGACAAAAUCAUGAUUACCUGUACUCAGAUGGUAUAUCAGUCGUGGUGACAGGAACAAGACUGACUGACAAACUAAAUGUACUACACAAAGAAUGGACACCACCACACACAUCAUUACAACAGGAGUGGGAGAGUUUGGGACAAUUAGUUUUGGUAGUACGAAAUGUUCCUGAUUGGACAGAAAAAGAACCAAAUUUGGAUUGGGACGACUGAACUGUACAGACAAUAUCUUAUUGGACAGUCUUAAACAAUCUGAGACCAGAUGCUGCUGUAUUCACGGUGGUAUCACAAUAUACACAGACAAUACUGGAAAAAUAGAGGAAUAGCGACAACUACAGGGAACACAGUGACACAUGCAGAGCAACUACAAAAUUUGCUCAUAGCAGUUCAAUUACCAAAAGAAAUAGCCAUAUGUAAAUGUGCAGUACACACAUCAAAAACAUAUAAAGAAUCAUUAGGAAAUGGAUUUACAGAUAAAACAGCAAAAGAAGCAGCAGCCAAAACCUUUAUGGGAUUAGCUGACCAUGAAACAAAUGAAGACCUACUUUGAGAUGAUGUGUUAAACAAAAUGCAACAAAAAUGCUUACCAGCAGAACUAAAAAUGUGGAAAAAAUAAGGUACUAUAUUACAAAAUGGGAAUGAUGUCAGCACAGAUACAAAAAAAAAAAAAAAAAAAAUCAACCAAAAACCUUAUUUAAGGGGCGGCAAUCUUGAGCCAUGGGAAGUCUCAGGUCUCAACAGGGGGAAUGGUAACCCUGGUACAAAGGCAUUACAUGAUCCAUGGAUUUAACUUGUAUGCAAAAAACUUUUUUUGUAGGGCUUGUUUGAUCUGCGACAUAAUCCACAAGGGAAUGUGCAUCCAAAACGUGGUCAGUUUCCUCAAGCUACACAUCCAUUCAUCCCUCCAUCCAUUUUCUUAGCCGCUUAUCCUCACAAGGGUCGCGGGGAGGGCUGCAGCCUAUCCCGGCUGUCAACGGGCAGGAGGCAAGGUACACCCUGACCUGGUUGCCAGCAAAUUGCAGGUCACAUGGAGACAAACAGCCGCACUCACAAUCACACCUUGGGGCAAUUUGGACACAAUGAUAGAUUUAGUCUAUACAUACAUUACAAGCACAUAAGGGUCUCAUUCCAUUCAAAACACUGUUUGGGAGACCAUACAAAUUACCAAUAUUUUCCACACAAUGAGACAUAGACGAAUGAUGAAGGAAAAAAAAAACACAAGUGGGUCCCUUUCAGGAGUUAUUAACAACCCCAAACAGCUUAAAAAAUUGCAAAAAGGGGUACUUGAGUUCAUUUGUUCAUUGUAGGAAAGUUUUUACUUUUGAAACCAUUGUUAACACAAACAAAACUUCUGUUCAAGUGGUACCUGUGGGAACCACUCAAGGUCCCACCCCCCAAAAAAAGUUGGGUGAUUCUGUGUAUCCAUUAACUUCUCUUGAAAAGCAAAAAACUGUUUUCUAAUUGCGUGUCACUAGGAAAUUUCACAUGCAUCAAUUUGAUAGGACUAGAAACAAAUUGGGAAUUUUAUCAGCAUUGAUGUGUGAAGCCAUUUUUGUGCCACUGUCAUGGUGGUGCGGCAGUAACUGUCUUUUUGAUUUUUUUUUUACGCCGGAUGCCUUUCCUGACGCAACCCUUCUGCAUUUAUUUGGAGAGAGAGCUGGAGCCAAUCCCAGCUAACUUCGGGCAGCGGCAGACUACACGCCGAACUGGUUGCCAGCCAGUCGCAGUGCAGAUGUCGACACCAUCACUGAGCGGGAAUCGAUUCCACGCUGCCUUCACUCAAAAUGUCCCUCUGAGGGAAACCCGAACUACAACGUGGCCUGCAAGAGAAAUGAGUUUGACAUCCCUGCACUACACCAUCAGAAAAAAAAAAAAAAAAUUUAGCAAGUUACUGUGCUUUAAUAACCUUAUUACUGCCAUUUGUCUAUUCAUCCUAUGUCUGUUUGUGAAUUAACAGCAACUGUACAUGCAGUUUUACCCGAACACUUGUGGACUAAGCAAGAGCUGAAUGACACGGACAAAAUAGCCGAAAGAAACACCUGGAUACACCUUACACACUGUAAAAGGUCAUCUCAGCUGAGUCACCCAAGGGGAAAGAAAUUCCAAAUGUUGAAAGUUGGAUGGGUAACCCGGAAGGAAAAUAUCAAACGGAUCCUGAAGAGAACAUGUCUUGAGAAACCACGAGGGGACCCUGAGUAAUGUACGAAGUGCGGCCACGUCAUGCCCGAAAGAUGCAAUGACAGUGGCAGGAAACAGGACGGGAGGAACCAGGAUGGACAGUAAAUAUAAGUGACACAUAGUUAAAGUUCACAUUAACCUAUUACAUUUUAAUUUGUUUGUAACG